ACUUACAGAAGCAUCUAGUUACCCACUCUGGAAUUAAACCCUACAGCUGUGACAUUUGUGGAAAAACUUUCAGUCAGAUAGGGAACCGAAAUACACACCUACGCAUUCACACCAGACAUGAUGUGUUCAUCUGUUGUCAGUGUGGUAAACUAUGUUCAACAGACGCACAGUUACAACGCCACAUGCUUACCCACUCUGAGGAACGACCUUAUAAAUGUGACCUGUGUGAGAAGACUUUUAAAACUACAUAUUACCUGAAAGAUCACCAACAGAUCCACACCAGAAAGAGUCCCUACAAGUGCAGUUACUGUGAGAAGCAGAGCGACACAGAUGGAUCCAGUUCUCAACCCUGUCAUCACUGUGGUGGUGGGAAACACUUUCGUUGUGACCUUUGUGGGAAAAGUUUCAGUCAUCAAAUCACCCUAAAAAGACAUAAACGUAGACACACUGGAGACAAAAUGAACUACUGCAAAGAAUGUGGGAGAAGCUUCCCCACAACACGUGAGUUAAAACAACAUGAACUCAUUCACAGUGGGGUUAAAAACCACCUCUGUGAUCAGUGUGGGUCAUCUUUCAUUACUGCAAGUCACCUUAAAACACACAAACGAGUCCACACAGGAGAGAAACCAUACAAGUGCAGACACUGUGACAAAAGCUUCUCACAUUCAGGUAGUCGUAACCUUCAUGAACGUACACACAUGGAAGGAAACUACAGCUGUGACCAGUGUGACAAGAGCUUCAGGAAUUUCACUUCAUACUCCAGACACAAACGAUCCCACGUUACUAAUAAACUCUUUCACUGUUACCAAUGUACCAAAAUAUUCACCUCAUUAUCUGCUCUGUGCAAACAUCAGCGUGAUCAUGCAGGACUGAAAUCACUCCCAUCUCUGUGAAUCUGCAGAGACAGAAAGAUCUUCUUCUGGUUUCAGGGUCAGACUCAACGCCCUUGAGAUCAGGCUCCACAGAGUUCAGCUGGAAUCUCCUGUAAAGAUGUGAUGAGGCAGCUAUGAAUGAAAAUGUGCCUCUCGUUACAUUUUAAGCUUUCUAAACUGUUGUACUGUAGUGUUGGUGUUGAGUGGUUAGCUUUGUUCCAGCAGUUGAAUCAAAAAAUCUGUUUCCUCUUAUUAUGUUUUUAUUGAAUGUAUUUUGAUCCAUGUGUUCUGCAGAUGUUUUUUGGUUUUGUUUUUUUGUUCAGGUUGUUUGUGUUAUGAAAUCCUUCAACAGUUAAACCAAAAUUUGAAAUGUUAAAUAAAGAAAUCGUUUAAUGACAAAGA